CCUACGGGAGGCAGCAGUGGGGGAUAUUGGACAAUGGGCGAAAGCCUGAAGCAGCGAAGCCGCGUGAGGGAAGACGGUCUUCGGAUUGUAAAACUCUGUCUGUGGGAAGAAAAUGACGGUACCCAAAGAGGAAGCUCCGGCUAACUACGUGACAGCACCCGCGGUACUACGUAGGGAGCAAGCGUGGUCCGGAUUUACUGGGAGUAAGGGGAGCGUAGGCGGGAUGGCAAGUAGAAUGUUAAAUUCAGCGGCUCAACCGGUUGCUGCGUUUUAAACUGCCGUUCUUGAGUGUAGUAGAGGCAGGCGGAAUGCGUAGUGUAGCGGUGAAAUGCGUAGAUAUUACGAGGAACCCCAGUGGCGAAGGCGGCCUGCUGGGCUUUAACUGACGCUGAGGCUCGAAAGCGUGGGGAGCGAACAGGAUUAGAUACCCGAGUAGUC
rnacentral:rRNA from 1 species